UACGUAGGGGGCAAGCGUUGUCCGGAAUCAUUGGGCGUAAAGAGCGUGUAGGCGGCCAGAAAAGUCCGCUGUGAAAACUCGAGGCUCAACCUCGAGACGUCGGUUGAAACCGUAUGGCUAGAGUCCGGAAGAGGAGAGUGGAAUUCCUGGUGUAGCGGUGAAAUGCGCAGAUAUCAGGAAGAACACCAAUGGCGAAAGCAGCUCUCUGGGACGGUACUGACGCUAAGACGCGAAAGCGUGGGGAGCGAACAGG
rnacentral:rRNA from 1 species